rnacentral:rRNA from 1 species
UGGGGAAUUUUGGACAAUGGGCGAAAGCCUGAUCCAGCAAUGCCGCGUGUGUGAAGAAGGCCUUCGGGUUGUAAAGCACUUUUGUCCGGAAAGAAAUCCUUGGCUCUAAUACAGUCGGGGGAUGACGGUACCGGAAGAAUAAGCACCGGCUAACUACGUGCCAGCAGCCGCGGUAAUACGUAGGGUGCAAGCGUUAAUCGGAAUUACUGGGCGUAAAGCGUGCGCAGGCGGUUUGCUAAGACCGAUGUGAAAUCCCCGGGCUCAACCUGGGAACUGCAUUGGUGACUGGCAGGCUAGAGUAUGGCAGAGGGGGGUAGAAUUCCACGUGUAGCAGUGAAAUGCGUAGAGAUGUGGAGGAAUACCGAUGGCGAAGGCAGCCCCCCUGGGCCAAUACUGACGCUCAUGCACGAAAGCGUGGGGAGCAAACAGGAUUAGAUACCCUGGUAGUCCACGCCCUAAAACGAUGUCAACUAGUUGUUGGGGAUUCAUUUCCUUAGUAACGUAGCUAACGCGUGAAGUUGACCGCCUGGGGAGUACGGUCGCAAGAUUAAAACUCAAAGGAAUUGAC